ACAUUGUUUCUUGAUCCAUACUAUAAGAAAUAAGUACUGCCCAGUGAUAUUAUUUCAACGGCCGCGGUAUACUGACCGUGCGAAGGUAGCAUAAUAAUUUGUCUCCUAAUUAGGGAAUAGAAUGAAUGGACAAACUCGAAACAUACUGUCUCUAUAACACACUAAUAACUUUAUCUUCAGGUGAAAAAGCCUGAAUAUAAUAAAAAGACAAGAAGACCCUAAAAGCUUUAUAUCUUACAGCUAACUCCAAGCACCAUGAUCUUUUGUUGGGACGACAACAAGAAUAAAAAACACUUGUAAAAAUAAAGACCAAGUCUCCAUUAUUAACCAAAAAAAGAAAAUAUGUAAGCUACUCUAGGGGUAACAGGCUAAUGUUCUUAAAGAGUACACAUUGACAAGAACGUUUGGCACCUCGAUGUUGGCUUAGGGACUCUCUUUCAUGCAAAAGUAAAAAAAGAAGGUUUGUUCAACCUAUAAUCCCCUACAUGAUC
rnacentral:rRNA from 1 species